CAGCCAGCAGCUUCUGAACUGUGUGACCAGGGCUGAAAAUGGGCUACUGCACUGAACACACUGAACAAGUGGCAGUGCUGCCAAGCUGACAGCAGCUGCACUGAACGAGAUCACUCAUUGCAGAUGUGAUGGACAGCAUCCAACCAGCAACUGGCAGGUUUCACUAUUUUUUGGAUCAUACAGCAUGUACAGUUGUGUACUGUAGACAUGAUAAAUCUGUAUAUUAAUCAUUGUGACCUGUGUUUGCCCUGGCUCAUGCAACCUCAGUAUUUCCAUGGCAAAAUAAAAAAAUAAUAAUAAAAAAAGAAAUAGGAGGCUCA